UACGUAGGGUGCAAGCGUUGUCCGGAAUUAUUGGGCGUAAAGAGCUCGUAGGCGGUCUGUUACGUCGGCUGUGAAAACCUGGGGCUCAACUCCGGGCCUGCAGCCGAUACGGGCAGACUAGAGUUCGGCAGGGGAGACUGGAAUUCCUGGUGUAGCGGUGAAAUGCGCAGAUAUCAGGAGGAACACCGAUGGCGAAGGCAGGUCUCUGGGCAUUAACUGACGCUGAGGAGCGAAAGCAUGGGGAGCGAACAGG
rnacentral:rRNA from 1 species